UACGUAGGGUGCAAGCGUUAAUCGGAAUUACUGGGCGUAAAGCGUGCGCAGGCGGUUGUGCAAGACAGAUGUGAAAUCCACGGGCUCAACCUGGGAAUGGCAUUUGUGACUGCACGGCUAGAGUGUGUCAGAGGGGGGUAGAAUUCCACGUGUAGCAGUGAAAUGCGUAGAUAUGUGGAGGAAUACCGAUGGCGAAGGCAGCCCCCUGGGAUAACACUGACGCUCAGGCACGAAAGCGUGGGGAGCAAACAGG
rnacentral:rRNA from 1 species